AUACAACAAUAAUAAAAUAAUAAUAAUGUUGGAGUCUAAAACCCACCAAAAAGUGCAAGGUUUGAAGUUAAACUGAAGUUUAAAGUUACGCAUUCACAUCAUGCUCGGUUCAGUCUACAUAAUCUGUUCCUUCAGUUCAUAUUUGUAAAUGUUAAAUUCAAUUCAUGCAUGUUCAUAAGUAAUCUUUGUGCACCAGCUGCACCGUGCACAUAUGCACUGAGAACUUUUCUGU
rnacentral:misc_RNA from 1 species